UGUCUCUGUUGUGGGCAAAAUGAUAUCAACUUCAUGGUGCUCAUCUUCUAUCAGCCAGGGGCAAAACAAUAUCAUAUUUACCUAGCAUAGGUUUUGAUUUAUGCCUGUGCAUGGUUCAUGCCUUGGACACAUGU